rnacentral:rRNA from 1 species
UACGUAGGUGGCGAGCGUUGCCCGGAUUUACUGGGCGUAAAGCGCGCGCAGGCGGCAGUCUAAGUCCUCUGUGAAAUCACCCGGCUCAACUGGGUGGCUGCGGAGGAGACUGGGCAGCUUGAGGGGCCUAGAGGCCGGUGGAACUCCCGGUGUAGUGGUGAAAUACGUAGAGAUCGGGAAGAACACCAGUGGCGAAGGCGGCCGGCUGGGGGCGCCCUGACGCUGAGGCGCGAGAGCGUGGGGAGCAAACCGG